rnacentral:tRNA from 1 species
ACCUUCAUGGUGUAACGUUAGCACACUCGGCGAGUAUUGGAGAGGUCCGGGUUCGAAUCCCGGUGAGGGCA